rnacentral:tRNA from 1 species
GGGGUUGUGGCUUAGUGUUAGAGUGUUUGCCUAGCACAUGCAAGGCUCUGAGUUCGAUCUUCAGCACCACA